UAACGGCAAGUGAAGCGGCAACAGCUCAAAUUUGAAAUCUGGCCCUAGGCCCGAGUUGUAAUUUGCAGAGGAUGCUUUUGGUGCGGUGCCUUCCAAGUUCCCUAGAACGGGACGCCAGAGAGGGUGAGAGCCCCGUACAGUUGGACACCAAGCCUUUGUAAAGCUCCUUCGACGAGUCGAGUAGUUUGGGAAUGCUGCUCAAAAUGGGAGGUAUAUUUCUUCUAAAGCUAAAUACCGGCCAGAGACCGAUAGCGCACAAGUAGAGUGAUCGAAAGAUGAAAAGCACUUUGAAAAGAGGGUUAAACAGCACGUGAAAUUGUUAAAAGGGAAGCGCUUGUGACCAGACUUGCGUCCGGUGAAUCACCCAGCUCUCGCGGCUGGGGCACUUCGCCGGCUCAGGCCAGCAUCAGCUCGCUGUCGGGGACAAAAGCUUCGGGAACGUAGCUCUCUUCGGGGAGUGUUAUAGCCUGUUGCACAAUACCCUUCGGCGGGCUGAGGUACGCGCUCCGCAAGGAUGCUGGCAUAAUGGUCAUCAGCGACCCGUCUUGAAACACGGACCAAGGAGUCAACCUUAUGUGCGAGUGUUCGGGUGUCAAACCCCUACGCGUAAUGAAAGUGAACGCAGGUGAGAGCUUCGGCGCAUCAUCGACCGAUCCUGAUGUUCUCGGAUGGAUUUGAGUAAGAGCAUAUAGGGUUGGACCCGAAAGAAGGUGAACUAUGCGUGUAUAGGGUGAAGCCAGAGGAAACUCUGGUGGAGGCUCGCAGCGGUUCUGACGUGCAAAUCGAUCGUCAAAUAUGCGCAUGGGGGCGAAAGACUAAUCGAACCUUCUAGUAGCUGGUUUCCGGCCGAAGUU
rnacentral:rRNA from 1 species